GCCCGGCCACGGAGCCGCCGAGCGCGCGCCCAGGACGGCGCACUGGCUGCGCGAGCCCGCAGCCGACGACGUCAGCUCCGGCGAGGAGCGGCGUGUCGACGACUGUGAGCAGCCGAUGUAUCAAAUGUCACUGACCAACUAUAAACCGACAUGAAAACCUGUUCGAUGGCACAUUGGGUAAAUAUACCGGGGAACAAGUGAAACUGCACUUACGGAAUAGUGCCGAACCGAUAUUCUGUCGCGCGCGACCGGUACC
rnacentral:misc_RNA from 1 species